GACGAACGCUGGCGGCGUGCCUAAUACAUGCAAGUAGAACGCACAGUUUAUACCGUAGCUUGCUACACCAUACACUGUGAGUUGCGAACGGGUGAGUAACGCGUAGGUAACCUGCCUGGUAGCGGGGGAUAACUAUUGGAAACGAUAGCUAAUACCGCAUAAUAUUGAUUAUUGCAUGAUAAUUGACUGAAAGAUGCUAUUGCAUCACUACCAGAUGGACCUGCGUUGUAUUAGCUAGUAGGUGAGGUAACGGCUCACCUAGGCGACGAUACAUAGCCGACCUGAGAGGGUGAUCGGCCACACUGGGACUGAGACACGGCCCAGACUCCUACGGGAGGCAGCAGUAGGGAAUCUUCGGCAAUGGACGAAAGUCUGACCGAGCAACGCCGCGUGAGUGAAGAAGGUUUUCGGAUCGUAAAGCUCUGUUGUAAGAGAAGAACGGGUGUGAGAGUGGAAAGUUCACACUGUGACGGUAUCUUACCAGAAAGGGACGGCUAACUACGUG
rnacentral:rRNA from 1 species